AAGUGUAUAAUCGGGCAUAUAGU
rnacentral:miRNA from 1 species